GACAGAGGAUGCAAGCGUUAUCCGGAAUGAUUGGGCGUAAAGCGUCUGUAGGUGGCUUUUUAAGUCCGCCGUCAAAUCCCAGGGCUCAACCCUGGACAGGCGGUGGAAACUACCAAGCUGGAGUACGGUAGGGGCAGGAGGGAAUUCCGGUGGAGCGGUGAAAUGCGUAGAGAUCGGAAAGAACACCCAACGGCGAAAGCACUCUGCUGGGGCCGACACUGUCACUGAGAGACGAAAGCUAGGGGAGCGAAUGGG
rnacentral:rRNA from 1 species